rnacentral:rRNA from 1 species
GGUACAUCGGUGACAGGUGGUGCAUGGUUGUCGUCAGCUCGUGUCGUGAGAUGUUGGGUUAAGUCCCGCAACGAGCGCAACCCCUAUUGUUAGUUGCCAUCAUUCAGUUGGGCACUCUAGCGAGACUGCCGGUAAUAAACCGGAGGAAGGUGGGAUGACGUCAAAUCAUCAUGCCCCUUAUGACCUGGGCUACACACGUGCUACAAUGGUUGGUACAACGAGUUGCGAGUCGGUGACGGCGAGCUAAUCUCUUAAAGCCAAUCUCAGUUCGGAUUGUAGGCUGCAACUCGCCUACAUGAAGUCGGAAUCGCUAGUAAUCGCGGAUCAGCACGCCGCAGUGAAUACGUUCCCGGGCCUU